CUGCAAGUCGAGCGAAUUCUUUGGAGCUUGCUCCAAAGAAGUUAGCGGCGGACGGGUGAGUAACACGUGGGCAAUCUGCCCGUAAGACUGGGAUAACUCCGGGAAACCGGGGCUAAUACCGGAUAAUCCCGACUCUCUCCUGAGAGUCGGUUGAAAGAUGGUUUCGGCUAUCACUUACGGAUGAGCCCGCGGCGCAUUAGCUAGUUGGUGAGGUAACGGCUCACCAAGGCGACGAUGCGUAGCCGACCUGAGAGGGUGAUCGGCCACACUGGGACUGAGACACGGCCCAGACUCCUACGGGAGGCAGCAGUAGGGAAUCUUCCGCAAUGGACGAAAGUCUGACGGAGCAACGCCGCGUGAGUGAAGAAGGUUUUCGGAUCGUAAAACUCUGUUGUUAGGGAAGAACACGUACGAGAGUAACUGCUCGUACCUUGACGGUACCUAACCAGAAAGCCACGGCUAACUACGUGCCAGCAGCCGCGGUAAUACGUAGGUGGCAAGCGUUGUCCGGAAUUAUUGGGCGUAAAGCGCGCGCAGGUGGUCUCCUUAAGUCUGAUGUGAAAGCCCCCGGCUCAACCGGGGAGGGUCAUUGGAAACUGGGGAACUUGAGUGC
rnacentral:rRNA from 2 species